rnacentral:rRNA from 1 species
GAUCCUGGCUCAGGAUGAACGCUAGCGGCAGGCUUAACACAUGCAAGUCGAGGGGUAACGAUUCUGAGUAAUCGGAAGGCGACGACCGGCGCACGGUUGAGUAUCGCGUUUGCAACCUACCUCUGACUGGAGCAUAGCCCGAAGAAAUUCGGAUUAAUACUCCAUAAUACUGCGAGAAGGCAUCUUUUUUCAGUUAAAGCUUCGGCGGUCAGAGAUGGGCAUGCGUAACAUUAGCUAGUUGGUGAGGUAACUGCUCACCAAGGCUACGAUGUUUAGGGGGUCUGAGAGGAUGGUCCCCCACACUGGUACUGAGACACGGACCAGACUCCUACGGGAGGCAGCAGUGAGGAAUAUUGGUCAAUGGGCGAAAGCCUGAACCAGCCAUGCCGCGUGAAGGAUGACGGCCCUAUGGGUUGUAAACUUCCUUUAUACGGGAAGAAACCUCUCUACGUGUAGAGGGUUGACGGUACCGUACGAAUAAGCAUCGGCUAACUCCGUGCCAGCAGCCGCGGUAAUACGGAGGAUGCAAGCGUUAUCCGGAUUCAUUGGGGUUAAAAGGGUCCGCAGGCGGGGCCGGGUAGUCAGAGGGGAAAGUUUGCGGCUCAACCCGUAAAAUUGCCUUUGAUACUGCUGGUCUUGAGUUGCGGUGAAAGUGGCUGGAAUAUGUGGUGUAGCGGUGAAAUGCAUAGAUAUCACAUAGAACACCGAUUGCGAAGGCAGGUCACUAACCGCGGACUGACGCUGAUGGACGAAAGCGUGGGGAGCGAACGGGAUUAGAUACCCCGGUAGUCCACGCCGUAAACGAUGGACACUAGCUGUCAGGGAGCUUGCUCUUUGGUGGCCCAGCGAAAGUGAUAAGUGUCCCACCUGGGGAGUACGUCGGCAACGAUGAAACUCAAAGGAAUUGACGGGGGCCCGCACAAGCGGUGGAGCAUGUGGUUUAAUUCGAUGAUACGCGAGGAACCUUACCAGGGCUUAAAUGUGGAGUGACAGGGGCAGAGACGCCUUUUUCUUCGGACACUCCACAAGGUGCUGCAUGGUUGUCGUCAGCUCGUGCCGUGAGGUGUCAGGUUAAGUCCUAUAACGAGCGCAACCCCUACCGUUAGUUGCCAGCAUGUAAAGAUGGGGACUCUAGCGGAACUGCCGGUGCAAACCGAGAGGAAGGUGGGGAUGACGUCAAAUCAUCACGGCCCUUACGUCCUGGGCUACACACGUGCUACAAUGGCCGGUACAAUGAGCAGCCACUACGCGAGUAGGAGCGAAUCUAUAAAACCGGUCACAGUUCGGAUCGAGGUCUGCAACCCGACCUCGUGAAGCUGGAAUCGCUAGUAAUCGGAUAUCAGCCAUGAUCCGGUGAAUACGUUCCCGG